UACGGGGGGAGCAAGCGUUGUUCGGAUUUACUGGGCGUAAAGGGCGCGUAGGCGGCGUAACAAGUCACUUGUGAAAUCUCCGGGCUUAACCCGGAGCGGCCAAGUGAUACUGUUGUGCUAGAGUGCGGAAGGGGCUACUGGAAUUCUCGGUGUAGCGGUGAAAUGCGUAGAUAUCGAGAGGAACACCUCGCGGCGAAGGCGGGUUGCGUGGGCUGGACACUGACGCUGAUGCGCGAAAGCUAAGGGGAGCGAAGCGGG
rnacentral:rRNA from 1 species